rnacentral:rRNA from 1 species
AGUGGGGAAUCUUGGACAAUGGGGGCAACCCUGAUCCAGCCAUGCCGCGUGAGCGAUGAAGGCCUUAGGGUUGUAAAGCUCUUUCAGCGGGGAAGAUAAUGACGGUACCCGCAGAAGAAGCCCCGGCUAACUCCGUGCCAGCAGCCGCGGUAAUACGGAGGGGGCUAGCGUUGUUCGGAAUUACUGGGCGUAAAGCGCACGUAGGCGGAUCAGUUAGUCAGAGGUGAAAUCCCAGGGCUCAACCCUGGAACUGCCUUUGAUACUGCUGGUCUUGAGGUCGAGAGAGGUGAGUGGAAUUCCGAGUGUAGAGGUGAAAUUCGUAGAUAUUCGGAGGAACACCAGUGGCGAAGGCGGCUCACUGGCUCGAUACUGACGCUGAGGUGCGAAAGCGUGGGGAGCAAA